AGAAGUUGGGUGAGCUAUGAAUGGGGGAAAUUUCCCCUUUCUUGGUUAUGCUGUAGUUCAAAAAGAAUUCCUGGCUUCUUGUUGCACAGUUGACUCAUGCCAUUUUACUGUUGCUUUAUGGAGUUAAGGAACAUGA
ensembl:snoRNA Gm22652 small nucleolar RNA SNORA46